UACGCGCUAAUUUUGGUGGGCAAAUUAGUAGGAAAAAACUCACACUAUCAAAUAAUUCGUAUGUGAUGUAGGGGCCACUUUUUUUACGUAAUUUUGUUCGUAAUUUCCUCUCUAGGUAUAAUUACUCUAAGCAUUGGCAUACAUUCU